UGAAUAUGAGUAUGACGGUAG
ensembl:piRNA 21ur-5342 ncRNA